AGCCAGACAUGAAGGAUGAUAACAGAUGAAGUGGCAGGAAUGAGUUGAGGGAGUUGAACAUUUUCCUUUCAUUUCCUUCAAGUUGUUGAGUUACUGUUGCCUGUGGACCUUUGCCCAUUCUUUCCCCUCUGCCUGGGAUGCUUUCCCUCAGGCCAGGGUACAACUGGAUCCUUCUCACAAAGCCACCUCCUCAAAGAGGCCCUCUCUAGUCUCGUUCCCCACUCCCACCCUGCCCCAUCACUCUGCCACCUCUCAUCCAUCACCUGCCUAUUCAUUACUGUUCCCACCACUACAAGACAGGUGAACUAAGACCUUCAUAGCAGUUAAAUAAGGAGCCAGUUCAAGGUUCCAAAUGGUAUGCUCGAAGAUGAUGGGCAAUCACUGCAUUUCAAAGCAUGUCAUGAUUGACUAUCAAGGACAGAAAAACACCAAUAAAGAUCACAUCAGAAAGCUAAUCAACUUUCCAAAGUAUAUCAGGAAAGUCAGUCUUAAAGUUCACCUUUGAAGAUUAGUGUAUUAUUGAU